UAAAACAAAUAUGUAUUAACAUGCAUUUUGGCUUUCAUAACCAUUUUAUUAAAGCCAUGAGCACUAGGCCAAUAUUUCAAAAAUACCUAAAAAAUAUUUUUUUUUCUUUUACUAUCUAGGAUUAUGAAUUCAUA